rnacentral:lncRNA from 10 species
CCGGGGCAGAAGGUGGGAGCUGAGAAGAGCUUCUAGGGCAUUCUGGAUUAGGGGCGUUGAGAGCGGGGGAAGGAACCCGUAAGAGGGAGAGAUGUGUCCCUCUUUCACUUCCAGAUGCCAUAGAGUCUACAAACCCACAAGUGUUUCUCGGAACUGAAUUUCAACACUAUGUUGACAUGGUUAGGGCUGAGGCAGCCCCCACAGAUGCAGGUGACUAAAAGUUCCAUAGAGAUCUUCAGGGAAGGCUUUAGCAUCUACCUAGAGCGCAAAAGCUGAAGAGUGACAUGGCCACACCCAUUUUACCUCAGAGAGCUUUGGGAACUUGCCCAAGGUCAUGGCGGAAGUGGUGGAGCCUGGAGUCAAGGCUGGUCUCAGAGCCACCUGACAAGUGUGGAUCAACACCAGCCCGGCACCCAUCAGCCACCCACCUUCCUGCUGGUGAGACUGAAGGCCCAUGACGCUCCACAGACUCAAAAACUUCCUCCUUCAAGAACAAACAGCCGGGUUGUGUGAAGCUAGCAUUGGGUGGGAGUGAUACCGAGGGUGAGUAGAAUGGAGAGCAGCUAUUACCAGGACCUUGGAAUAGAAGCUUCUUGAAGACCGGGACUUUGUCCCGUAUCCUCAGUGGCUGAAAAAAAGUGCCUAACACAUACUAGUAGCUCAACAAAUGAAUGGCAAAACUGUAAAGAUGGAGGGAGAACUAGCCCUAAGGUGGAGAGGUGCUGACCCGGACUCCAAUAUCCGAGGCGGGGCAAGACAGCAGCCACCAGAGGCACAGUGGAAAGGGAGCUCAAACCUUGGCCUCAUUAGUACCAGCCUGCCAUGCACUGAGCCACCUGCCUCCCUCCCACGGAGGCAGCAAAGAGAGCCGAGUCAGCAACUAUUAAUGAAGAAGGAAUGGUGGAAUUAUAAUAUCACCACCAGCAGAGAAAUCUAGCAGACAACACCUUAGCCAAGCAAGUUAGACCACCGGAGAGGGGACAUGGAGAGCCCAUGUGCCUCCUGAUAUGAUUCACUGGGAAGGACAAAACGUGCUUCUGUGAUAUUCCUGCCAAACAGGCAUGACUUAAAUGGAACCAUGAAGAACCAUCAGACAACCCAGAUGAGGGCCAUUUUACAGAAUAACUGCUCUAUGCUUCAAAAAGAUCAAUGACAUGAAAGAGAAAGAAAAUCUGAGAAAUCAUUCCAGAUUCAAGGAGAAUAGAGAGACGAGAAUUAAACGCAGCAUACUGAACAAAAUUUCUUUUGUCUUAGAAGAUAUUAUUGGAACCAUUGGCAAAAUCUGAAUAAAUUCUGUCGAUUAUCCAAUAGAAUUGUAUCAGCAUUAAUUAUCUGGUUUUGAUAAGUACACUGUGGUUAUGUAAGAAAAUGUCCGUAUGUAAAAAAAAAAAACAACAACAAAAACACACGUUGGGGUAUUUAGGAGAAAGGGACAUUACAACCUUCUCUCAAACAGUUUAGGGGGAAAGCAAUAGAAAAACAGACACAUUGAGAGGAAAUAAUAAAGCAAAUGUGGAAAAUUGUUAGCAGUUGGAGAGUCUGAGGGAAGAGCAUGGGGAAAUUCUUUGUAUUGUUCUUGCAACUUCUCAGUAAGUCUGAAAUUAGCCUGAAAUUAAAAGUUAAGUGAAAAAACAGGCCAGGUGCAGUGGCUCGCG